CUGGGUUGGAUGAGUGGCGAACGGGUGAGCAACACGUGAGUAACCUGCCCUCUUCUUUGGGAUAACGGUCGGAAACGGCUGCUAAUACCGGGUAUUCACUGUCCUUCGCAUGGGGGGUGGUGGAAAGGUUUUUUCUGGUGGGGGAUGGGCUCGCGGCCUAUCAGCUUGUUGGUGGGGUGAUGGCUUACCAAGGCUUUGACGGGUAACCGGCCUGAGAGGGUGACCGGUCACAUUGGGACUGAGAUACGGCCCAG
rnacentral:rRNA from 1 species